GUGCCAGCAGCCGCGGUAAUACAGAGGUCUCAAGCGUUGUUCGGAAUUACUGGGCGUAAAGGGUGCGCAGGCCGCGCGGGCAGUCAAAUGUGUAAUCCAGGGGCUCAACCCCUGAACUGCGCUUGAUACUUCCGCGCUCGAGCUUUGGAGAGGAGUCUGGAAUUCUCGGUGUAGCAGUGAAAUGCGUGGAUAUCGAGAAGAACACUUAGGGCGUAGGCAAGACUCUGGACAAAUGCUGACGCUCAUGCACGAAGGCUAGGGUAGCGAACGGGAUUAGAUACCCCGGUAGUCC
rnacentral:rRNA from 1 species